rnacentral:pre_miRNA from 1 species
UGAUGAUGAUGGUGAUGAUGAUGAUGGUGAUGAUGAUGAUGAUGGUGGUGAUGAACAUUAACAAAAUCAUCGUCAUCAUCAUCAUCAUUCAGGGUAU